UCACCCUUCCCUCAAACCUUAACGUGUCCUCAAGGUGUUAACUCUGGAAGGCAUUGGUGCACUUGUUGAGUGUUUUCCCAACUGGGAUAGUGUGCGUCAUCUCCUUGCCGCUCCACUAUCUCUUGGACUACAGACUUGCUCUUUGGACUAAACACCCUAAAUGGAAAUAGAGAACGUCUUCUGAGACAUUCUUUCUGCCCUUUCAGGAACACCCUUGGUUUAAUAGUGACAAAAAUGGAGACACUUUUCUUUUCUUAUAAGCGAGAAUGGUAUUUGCUUUGUGGCUUUGGGUUAAACAUAUUUCACACUUAACACAAAAACACAAGCACGUACAGACAGACACACAUACGAGCAAAUAUGAGAAUUAAGUAAAUUGAUUUAAUGCUUCUAAUUGUUUUGAUUGAUUGCUCACAAGGUGUUACAUGCAAAGUUAUUUUUCCAAAGUCAAAUUAUAUACUGUCGUUCAUCUUUUCGAAAAGAUUACUUUACACAUGGUACUCUUAUGUAAAAGGAUUAGACGGCUCACAUUAAUCUGCAUAGUUCUCAUGUUUGUUGGCUCUAGAUAUUCUGUAAAGCUUAUAUAUAUUAUAAAAAUGUUUAGAAAAUGUUUCUCAUCAAUAUAAGAUACAAUUGCUCAUUUUUUUCGUUCUUUGAUUAGAUUUUGCAUUAUUGAAUAAGGUGCACCUUUCAUCUCUUCAAGCCCUAAAGAAAAAGAGAGUCAAGAAGCGAGUUUUAUGCGUGUCUUGAAUAUCAACCAAAUUUUAUUGAUUGAUGCUGAACCACAGCUCAAUCAACUAUAAGGAACGAGAACUCGGUCGGAUUCAGUUGCAUUUGUUUUCAACUUUUUCAAUUCAUGAACCUCUGUUUACAAUAACAUGGUUUUUCUUUUAUAUAUAUACUAAAUUGUUGGUUUAACGUUUAACUUUUUAAUUAAGAUAUCUCUUGUUUUUGCAACUCUGAAAUCAUAUAUCAAGGUAAACUACGCAUUCUAUUUGUCCAUUUGAUGGAUGAUGCUUUGAUUUUUUUGUCAUGUGACGUUUCCUGUACCAUAGUUGCUUCUAGAUCCAUGUGUAGCUCUGUAAGAGAAAAAAAAAACGUGGGUCCGUAUCUGAUCAUGCAAGCUCUCUGAUCAUUCGCAGUUUAUGUGUUAUUUAUAACAUUGAGGAAAGAUGAAGUUGGAAGGACGCGUGAGAAUUUACCAUUGAUCUUGUUUCAUAAUUCCUUUACAUUAACUCGUGGAUAAUGUUACUCUUGGGAAAGGUGAACGGUGGUUGUUGUUGGAUUGAUCGUGCGCGCUUUUGCUGUGAGGGACAUCUCAGGAACCUCAAAAGCAUUGCUGAAUGAUCAGGUUCAAUACCACAGUCAUCCAAGAUUUCAAGCAUCAAACUGAGGUCAAUUCCUCAAAACAUUUUCUGUGCAAUCAUAUUACGAGAAACACCCGCAGAAAAUCCCAUGUUCGACAUGAAUUCCUCCAAGCGCUUUGCAUUUGUCAGGUCGCCAUCGAAAUUCCUUGUGCAUUGAUCCAAGCUGUUACAUUUUGGAUUAUCACAUACCCUUCAGUUGGUUAUUACUGGUCUGCUUAUAAGAUCUUAUGGUACAUCUUUUUGCUAUUUUCUAUGCUCAUCUUGGGAUGCUGGUGGUCUCAUUAACUCCAAACGCUCAAAUUGCUGCUAUCCUGCAAUCUGUUUUCAACACAUUACUGACUCUCUUUUCUGGCUUCCUGAUAUC